rnacentral:rRNA from 1 species
AGAGUUUGAUUAUGGCUCAGGAUGAACGCUGGCGGCGUGCCUAACACAUGCAAGUCGAACGAAGCGCUUGAUUGGAUUUUUUUCGGAAAUGAAGAACUUGCGACUGAGUGGCGGACGGGUGAGUAACGCGUGGGCAACCUGCCUCAUACAGGGGGAUAACAGCCGGAAACGGCUGCUAAUACCGCAUAAGCGCACAGGACCGCAUGGUCCGGUGUGAAAAACUCCGGUGGUAUGAGAUGGGCCCGCGUCUGAUUAGCCAGUUGGCGGGGUAGAGGCCCACCAAAGCGACGAUCAGUAGCCGACCUGAGAGGGUGACCGGCCACAUUGGGACUGAGACACGGCCCAAACUCCUACGGGAGGCAGCAGUGGGGAAUAUUGCACAAUGGGGGAAACCCUGAUGCAGCGACGCCGCGUGAGCGAAGAAGUAUUUCGGUAUGUAAAGCUCUAUCAGCAGGGAAGAUAAUGACGGUACCUGACUAAGAAGCACCGGCUAAAUACGUGCCAGCAGCCGCGGUAAUACGUAUGGUGCAAGCGUUAUCCGGAUUUACUGGGUGUAAAGGGAGCGCAGGCGGUACGGCAAGUCUGAUGUGAAAGCCCAGGGCUCAACCCUGGUACUGCAUUGGAAACUGCCGGACUAGAGUGUCGGAGGGGUAAGUGGAAUUCC